rnacentral:lncRNA from 1 species
CGCAGAGGCCGGAGUCAGUGCGCCGGGCGCGGUGCAGCCUGUCGGGCACAGGGUCGCCAGUCGAGGAAUUCUGACAAAAAAACGACAUGGGACCCUGUUAUCCCUGCUGUUCUUAUGGAUUACUGGGAAAGUGAGCCACUGCGAACGACAGGUACAAGAUCUUCGACGCGCCCGGAGUCACCAACCGAGUCUGCCGCGACCUAGCCGCGGUCGUCAUGGCAACCUGGCCCCCCCGCCAGGCCUGCCAGGAAAGCCGGCGGACACGUAAGCCACGCCCACUCUGGGCCCAACGCAGUCUCUCCGCGGAGGCUCUGAACCCAGCCAGGGAGAGGCAGGAGGGAGUCCCGCCCCUUGCCCUCCAUAUCGGACCAUAGGAACCCACUCAUUGGCUGCAGUGUUUGUCAGCGUCUGGAGGCUUCGAACCCACCAAGCAAAGACCCAGUGCAUCUGUGCGUUGCACAGUCGCAUCUGUGAAUCCCUGCAUCCCUCCUGCCCUGCCUGCCAAGACUGAUGUGCAGCUUUUCUACCAUCACAUACCGGUUCAUACAGAAUCACAUCUGCAUAGAACUGCAAUGAACUUCUCCGUCAUCCAUUACCAUCUUCAGCAAGGUAUGGAUCUUAGCCUGGUGGUAGAAUGUGAAGAUGAGGACCUCAUCCAGGUUUCUUCCUUCCUUGGGUGCUCUGCCUCAGCCCUAGAGGCUGCCCCUUAUAUCU